AACGAACGCUGGCGGCAUGCCUAACACAUGCAAGUCGAACGAGAUCUUCGGGUCUAGUGGCGCACGGGUGCGUAACGCGUGGGAACCUGCCCUUUGGUUCGGAAUAACAGUUGGAAACGACUGCUAAUACCGGAUGAUGACGAAAGUCCAAAGAUUUAUCGCCAGGGGAUGAGCCCGCGUAGGAUUAGCUAGUUGGUGUGGUAAAGGCGCACCAAGGCGACGAUCCUUAGCUGGUCUGAGAGGAUGAUCGGCCACACUGGGACUGAGACACGGCCCAGACUCCUACGGGAGGCAGCAGUGGGGAAUAUUGGACAAGGGGCGAAAGCCUGAUCCAGCAAUGCCGCGUGAGUGAUGAAGGCCUUAGGGUUGUAAAGCUCUUUUACCCGGGAUGAUAAUGACAGUACCGGGAGAAUAAGCUCCGGCUAACUCCGUGCCAGCAGCCGCCGCCG
rnacentral:rRNA from 1 species